UAGCUUAGUUGGUAGAGCGCUCCACCUGUAAUGGAGAGGUCCCGGGUUCGAUACCCGC
rnacentral:tRNA from 1 species